rnacentral:rRNA from 1 species
UAGUCCACGCUGUAAACGAUGGAUACUAGGUGUAGGAGGUAUCGACCCCUUCUGUGCCGGAGUUAACACAAUAAGUAUCCCACCUGGGGAGUACGGUCGCAAGACUGAAACUCAAUGGAAUUGACGGGGACCCGCACAAGCAGUGGAGUAUGUGGUUUAAUUCGAAGCAACGCGAAGAACCUUACCUGGACUUGACAUCCCUUGCAUACCAUAGAGAUAUGGGAAGCCCUUCGGGGCAAGGAGACAGGUGGUGCAUGGUUGUCGUCAGCUCGUGUCGUGAGAUGUUGGGUUAAGUCCCGCAACGAGCGCAACCCUUAUUGUUAGUUGCCAUCAUUAAGUUGGGCACUCUAGCGAGACUGCCGGUGAUAAAUCGGGAGGAAGGUGGGGAUGACGUCAAAUCAUCAUGCCCCUUAUGUCCAGGGGCUACACACGUACUAC